CUCAGAAGUUCCUUUUACAAGUU
rnacentral:piRNA from 1 species